UACAGAGGGUGCAAGCGUUGUUCGGAAUUAUUGGGCGUAAAGCGCGUGUAGGCGGCCUUGCAAGUCGGGUGUGAAAGCCCUCAGCUCAACUGAGGAAGCGCGCCCGAAACUGCAGAGCUUGAGUACCGGAGAGGAUGGCGGAAUUCCCCAAGUAGAGGUGAAAUUCGUAGAUAUGGGGAGGAACACCGGUGGCGAAGGCGGCCAUCUGGACGGAUACUGACGCUGAGACGCGAAAGCGUGGGGAGCAACCAGG
rnacentral:rRNA from 1 species